rnacentral:tRNA from 1 species
CGAAAUCGGUAGACGCUACGGACUUAAAAUCCGUCGAUUUUCGAAAUCGGGG